GACGAACGCUGGCGGCGUGCUUAACACAUGCAAGUCGAACGAUGACGACCGAGCUUGCUCGGUCUGAUUAGUGGCGAACGGGUGAGUAACACGUGAGCAACCUGCCCUUCACUCUGGGAUAACCUCGGGAAAUCGGGGCUAAUACCGGAUAUGAGCUCCUGUCGCAUGGCGGGUGUUGGAAAGUGUUUCGGUGAAGGAUGGGCUCGCGGCCUAUCAGUUUGUUGGUGAGGUAGGGGCUCACCAAGGCGAUGACAGGUAGCCGGCCUGAGAGGGCGACCGGCCACAAUGGGACUGAGACACGGCCCAGACUCCUACGGGAGGCAGCAGUGGGGAAUAUUGCACAAUGGGCGAAAGCCUGAUGCAGCGACGCCGCGUGAGGGAUGACGGCCUUCGGGUUGUAAACCUCUUUCAGCAGGGAAGAAGCGAAAGUGACGGUACCUGAAGAAGAAGCGCCGGCUAACUACGUG
rnacentral:rRNA from 1 species